rnacentral:lncRNA from 1 species
UCUUAUCUUCCCCAAAAUCAUAUAUAUUAUACUUUCUUCUUGUUGAUUUCAUCCCUAAAAUCCCAAAUUAAUUUCAACUAUCAAGUUGAUUGCAUCCCCAAAAUCCCAAUUGAUUCUUCCCCANNNNNNNNNNNNAAACGCGAUUCCACCCUUCAUCUCGACAAAACGCUAUUCCUUCCGAUUCUAUUCUCGCAAGGUACUCACUUUUUCCUUUCUUUCCAAAUUACGAUGAGAAUGGUUUUUCUGAUUUCGAUUUUAUUAUACUGAAUUGUAAUUUUGAGUUCAGAAUUUGGCAUGUGUUUGUGGCUAAACAUGUAAUUUUGAGUUCAGAACCAACACUUUUAUUAUACCGUGGUUGUGGUACUUGAUUUUAUUAUACCGUGUUUGUGGCUAAACAUGUAAUUUUGAGUUCAGAAUUUGCCUAUUCAUGUGUUUCUUUGGUAUAUUCUUUGGUUUUAAGAUAUAUAGUUACUUAUCUUUAAUUGUGAAUAUGUUUAUACCGAGACAUUUUUAAUUCGGCUAUAUGUUUGAUACUGACCAUGUUUAAUUAUUUAGUUUUGGCCUGACCUAAAACUUCUAGGCAUAAGUAUUGCCUCUAUCUAUAAAAUUGGUUGAUGUUGUUUCGGCUAUUACUAUGUGAUUGUAAAAUUUUCUGCACCCAAAUCUGUUUUUCUUUUAAUUUACUUUUAACCCUUUUGAAAAAUUUCAUACUUUUGACCCUUUUGACUUUUUCUGAUUCAAUAUCAACAAGUACCUCAUCCUAUAUAUGCAAAUUUUGAAAAGGAUAACCUUUUAAAGUGAAAGCACUUAUAUAUGACAUAGAUGCCACUGUUUUGCAAGUGAAACUAGAUUUAAUGUUAAUGAUCAAAUUAUAUACUAAGGACUCUUGACUUGUUUAAAAUGUCAGUCAAGAGAUGGUAGGUUGUAAUAGUAGACAGACAAAGUGUUUAAGUUGUUACGAUUUGAAUAGGCCAAUAGGGUGAAGCAAAAACAUUCCCAUUUUCAGAGUAUACAACAUAUACAAACAUGCUUAAGCAAGUACUUCCACAUGGCUACAAUCUUAAACAUACCAGUGUCUAGGAUUGUCAAAAUUGAGAUCUAAUCUUAAGAUUGGCGAAGUGAGAAAUCCUAUCUAAUAAAUCACAAGAAAGAUUUAAUUGAACAUGGAUUGAAAAUGCAUUAGACAGUUGUUAGAUACAAACUCAAAGGAGGGGGUGGGGUGGGUAGCUCAACUGGUUUGAGCUAAGGGUGAAAGGUGUUAAGGUGUAUAAAGGACCCGGGUUAAAAUCCCGGUGAAGGAGAAAAAAAAAUACUAACAUUAACAACUAAUUACUAACUUUGGCCGAGUCUUAAAUAUAAUUGGUUUAGUAUAAGCAUUGGUUUUUCUGAUUUGGAUUUCUUUGUCAUGGUAAGACUUAAAUGAAACUAUGUUACUCUUAGUUUGGUUGUCUAGUUGUGCUGCAUAAUCCGUUUCACCUUGCACUGCCAUCAUCAAUCACAGCAUUAUAAUGCAGUGAGAGUAAUGAGUUUUUACAUCAUCUGUAAUGGAAAACCCGGCGGGAAAGAGAUUCCCUGUCCUUGUGCCCAUUGUUUCAAUAGACAAUGGUUUACAAGGAAUGUAGUACGAAAUCAUGUGAUGCUUAGGACUGUUCAUUCAAAACCUUGAACUGAACUGAUAAUUUAGGACUGUAAUGAUAAUAUUCAGAAUAUUUUUGUAUUGAAAAGUUGCUUGUUUAGGACCGACUCUGUUAGUCACACGUUUGAAUGUCUAAUUCAUUGGAUAUUUUACAAAAAAAAAUGUAUUGACUUCUAGAUAGUUGAUCUGCUCAUUGUUUCUUUUCUUUUUACAUAGAAUUUUAAUUAUAUUACUUUUAUUUUGCAGAAGAUAAAUAAUG